rnacentral:lncRNA from 1 species
GUAUGUCUAUAAUCUAUGUUUUCUUGAUUUUAUAUUUUAAAUCAUCUUAAUUUUGCUUUAGAUGGAGAUCGUUUUGAUAUUGAUGAAGUCAUCGAUGAUCUAGUUGACUUACAAGGAGUCAUCUUUGAAGAAGAUGUGCAAGAAAUUGAUCUUGAAAAUACUGAGGAAGAGUGUUAAUUAUUAUUUUUCAAAUGCUAAAAUUUUAUAGUUAUACUUCUCUACUUUUUAUUAGUUUAUGUAGUACAAUGUUAAUGUAACUUUGUAUGGGGAAAUGGUGAUUGCAAUUGUAG